UUGUGACACGAUCACUUUCAACCCGCGUAUGAGUUUUGAGAUCGUCGACACGUGGCUGAUCUGAGACCAGGCCCCCGAACAUCCAGAGCAUGAAACUUCUCCCCGAGGACAGCGACACUGAAGGAGACAGCUACACACCAGCAUGGAUUAUGAACGUGUGGUCUGCAAUGUUGGAUGAGACGCAGAACAGAGAGAUGCUAGAAGCGGCCUGGGGAGUAUCAUAGGACCAGUUAGACUCCACAAACAGCUAUACACCUGCUCGAGAAUGGUCCCAAAUGUUAAACUGGACUGGAUUUGGUGCGGACACCCCUCCAUUAGCAGCAUCCAACUGAACCCCAUGUUGAACUGGCUGCUCCAAUUAACCACCAGCAGCAAAGUGUCCUGCAGUCAGGCCCCGAGUUUAGCCAGGCAGAGCCUUACAAACAGUCACAGGUAA